UACGAAGGGGGCUAGCGUUGCUCGGAAUCACUGGGCGUAAAGGGUUCGUAGGCGGGUCUUUAAGUCAGGGGUGAAAUCCUGGAGCUCAACUCCAGAACUGCCUUUGAUACUGAGGAUCUUGAGUUCGGGAGAGGUGAGUGGAACUGCGAGUGUAGAGGUGAAAUUCGUAGAUAUUCGCAAGAACACCAGUGGCGAAGGCGGCUCACUGGCCCGAUACUGACGCUGAGGAACGAAAGCGUGGGGAGCAAACAGG
rnacentral:rRNA from 1 species